rnacentral:tRNA from 1 species
GCCCAGAUGGCGGAAUUGGUAGACGCGCCAGCUUCAGGUGCUGGUAUUCGCAAGAAUGUGGAGGUUCGAGUCCUCUUCUGGGCACCA